rnacentral:rRNA from 1 species
UACAGAGGUCUCAAGCGUUGUUCGGAUUCAUUGGGCGUAAAGGGUGCGUAGGCGGCGCGGUAAGUCGGGUGUGAAAUCUUGGAGCUUAACUCCGAAACUGCAUUCGAUACUGCCGUGCUUGAGGACUGGAGAGGAGACUGGAAUUUACGGUGUAGCGGUGAAAUGCGUAGAUAUCGUAAGGAAGACCAGUGGCGAAGGCGGGUCUCUGGACAGUUCCUGACGCUGAGGCAUGAAGGCCAGGGGAGCAAACGGG